rnacentral:rRNA from 1 species
AUACGACUACAUUAGACUACCCGGGUAGUCCUAGACCGUAAACGAUACUCGCUAGGUGUCGGCCACGGUGCGACCGUUGUCGGUGCCGUAAGGGAAACCGUGAAACGUGCCGCCUGGGAAGUACGGUCGCAAGGCUAGAAACUUAAAGGAAUUGGCGGGGGAGCACCACAACGGGUGGAGCCUGCGGUUUAAUUGGACUCAACGCCGGGAAGCUCACCGGAUAAGACAGCGGAAUGAUUGCCGGGCUGAAGACCCUGCAUGACCAGCUG